UACGUAGGGGGCUAGCGUUGUCCGGAAUCAUUGGGCGUAAAGAGCGUGUAGGCGGCCCGGUAAGUCCGCUGUAAAAGUCAAAGGCUCAACCUUUGAAUGUCAGUGGAUACUGCCGGGCUAGAGUCCGGAAGAGGCGAGUGGAACUCCCGGUGUAGUGGUGAAAUGCGUAGAUAUCCGGAGGAACACCGGUGGCGAAGGCGGCUUCCUGGACCGACACUGACGCUGAGGCCGCGAAAGCUAGGGAGCAAACGGG
rnacentral:rRNA from 1 species